rnacentral:rRNA from 1 species
UACGGGGGGGGCAAGCGUUGUUCGGAAUUACUGGGCGUAAAGCGCACGUAGGCGGACAUUUAAGUCAGGGGUGAAAUCCCAGAGCUCAACUCCAGAACUGCCUUUGAUACUGGGAGCUCGAGUCCGGGAGAGGUGAGUGGAACUCCGAGUGUAGAGGUGAAAUUCGUAGAUAUUCGGAAGAACACCAGUGGCGAAGGCGGCUCACUGGCCCGGUACUG